rnacentral:rRNA from 1 species
AUGUCCUCUUCUCUGCUAGAUGUUGCUUUCGAAUCAUACCAAAUUGGACGCAAAGCUACACGAGCACUACCCAUGUCAAAUAUUGAUGAAUUCAUAUACCAAAACCUACCUACAAAGCACCAUGUCCUGAGAAAGGUUGCAGACUGCCGUCACUGUGGGGCAUUGCGUUUUCCGUUCGAGGGGCCAAUGUUUUGCUGCAGAAAAGGAAAAGUCAGUAUAUUUACUCCAGAAAGUCCAGAAGAAUUGAAACGGUUGUUUACAAGUCAAGACGAUGAGGAUGCUAAAUAUUUCAGAGAGCAUAUACGAUAUUUCAACUCGCACUUCUCAUUCACAAGUCUAGGAGUCACCCUUGAUCGCCGAGUAAGCACUAUCGCAGGAACUGGCGUGUAUACAUUCCGUGCGUGUGGUGGGCUGUACCACGCUCUUGAUAAUCUGGUGCCGGCUGAUAAUGGCCCUCAACAUUUGCAACUCUAUAUUUAUGAUACAGAUCAAGACUUGGUUCACAGGGCUACUAGGUCUCCAGAUCUUAAUAUAGACCUCAUACGGAAGAUUCUGCAAAUACUAGAGCGUAACCCUUAUGCGCGAACUUUCAAGAGCCUUGGGUCUGUUCCCAAUCUAGAUGAGUAUAGAAUCUCACUAAACACGGAUAUAAACUUGGAUCAACGGACGUACAAUGCCCCAACGACUUCCCAGGUGGCAGCUAUAUGGGUUGAAGGGAGCGACCCACAGAAUUGCUUUGACAGGAGUGUAGUCGGUCUUGUUGACACCGUCGUUGCCGGCGAGUCGCGCGGUGAUCGAAUUGGCAAACGAAUCGUGCUUCCACGUACAUUUCUUGGUGGUGACCGCGACAUGCAGCGGAGGUUCCUGGAUGCAAUGGCAAUAGUGCAACGGUGGGGUAAACCGGAUUAUUUUGUCACAAUGACUUGCAAUCCCUAUUGGGAGGAGAUACCUGAGAAACUGUUUCCUGGACAACUCCCGCAAGACCGUCCAGACCUGGUGGCAAGAGUAUACAAAGCUAAACAGCGAGAUAUGAUGGACUUACUAACUAAGGGUAAGCAUUUCGGAGAAGUUGCAGCUUGUGUACAUGUCACAGAGUUUCAGAAGCGAGGUCUCCUACAUCAGCAUAUACUCCUAAUCAUGAAAUCAAAGAGCAAGUUAGCGACCCCGGAUGACUAUGAUCGGGUGAUAUGUGCUGAGAUACCUGACAAAGAGGAACACCCCGUUCUGCAUGAUAUGGUCGUGAAACACAUCUGA